UACAGAGGGUGCGAGCGUUGUCCGGAAUCACUGGGCGUAAAGGGCGCGUAGGUGGCGGCCCAAGUCCAUGGUGAAAGCUCGAUGCUCAACAUCGAGUCGGCCACGGAUACUGGGUUGCUCGAGCACUGUAGGGGCAGAUGGAAUUCCGGGUGUAGCGGUGGAAUGCGUAGAGAUCCGGAAGAACACCGGUGGCGAAGGCGGCAUCCUGGACCGGUAUUGACACUGAGGCGCGAAAGCCAGGGGAGCAAACGGG
rnacentral:rRNA from 1 species